CCACGGUGCUGAAGCAACAAAUGCCCUGCUUCCAGGAAAAGCCUCUAAGCAUCAGGUAACAUCAAAUCGUACCCCAAACCGACACAGGUGGUCAGGUAGAGAAUACCAAGGCGCUUGAGAGAACUCGGGUGAAGGAACUAGGCAAAAUGGUGCCGUAACUUCGGGAGAAGGCACGCUGACACGUAGGUGAAGUGAUUUACUCACGGAGCUGAAGUCAGUCGAAGAUACCAGCUGGCUGCAACUGUUUAUUAAAAACACAGCACUGUGCAAACACGAAAGUGGACGUAUACGGUGUGACGCCUGCCCGGUGCCGGAAGGUUAAUUGAUGGGGUCAGCGCAAGCGAAGCUCCUGAUCGAAGCCCCGGUAAACGGCGGCCGUAACUAUAACGGUCCUAAGGUAGCGAAAUUCCUUGUCGGGUAAGUUCCGACCUGCACGAAUGGCGUAAUGAUGGCCAGGCUGUCUCCACCCGAGACUCAGUGAAAUUGAACUCGCUGUGAAGAUGCAGUGUACCCGCGGCAAGACGGAAAGACCCCGUGAACCUUUACUAUAGCUUGACACUGAACAUUGAGCCUUGAUGUGUAGGAUAGGUGGGAGGCUUUGAAGCGUGGACGCCAGUCUGCGUGGAGCCGACCUUGAAAUACCACCCUUUAAUGUUUGAUGUUCUAACGUGGACCCGUAAUCCGGGUUGCGGACAGUGUCUGGUGGGUAGUUUGACUGGGGCGGUCUCCUCCUAAAGAGUAACGGAGGAGCACGAAGGUUGGCUAAUCCUGGUCGGACAUCAGGAGGUUAGUGCAAUGGCAUAAGCCAGCUUGACUGCGAGCGUGACGGCGCGAGCAGGUGCGAAAGCAGGUCAUAGUGAUCCGGUGGUUCUGAAUGGAAGGGCCAUCGCUCAACGGAUAAAAGGUACUCCGGGGAUAACAGGCUGAUACCGCCCAAGAGUUCAUAUCGACGGCGGUGUUUGGCACCUCGAUGUCGGCUCAUCACAUCCUGGGGCUGAAGUAGGUCCCAAGGGUAUGGCUGUUCGCCAUUUAAAGUGGUACGCGAGCUGGGUUUAGAACGUCGUGAGACAGUUCGGUCCCUAUCUGCCGUGGGCGCUGGAAGACUGAGGGGGGCUGCUCCUAGUACGAGAGGACCGGAGUGGACGCAUCACUGGUGUUCGGGUUGUCAUGCCAAUGGCACUGCCCGGUAGCUAAAUGCGGAAAAGAUAAGUGCUGAAAGCAUCUAAGCACGAAACUUGCCCCGAGAUGAGUCUUCCCUGAGACUUUGAGUCUCCUGAAGGAACGUUAAAGACGAUGACGUUGAUAGGCCGGGUGUGUAAGCGCAGCGAUGCGUUGAGCUAACCGGUACUAAUGAACCGUGAGG
rnacentral:rRNA from 1 species